AUGUUUACCUGUUGGUUUCUUGUAAGCGGAAUUUUCUGAGUGACCACGCUUUCGAACUCAACGUUGCGUAUGAAAUAGAUAUAGAUGAUUGCAAUGACCCCACGUUGGAAGUUGGACCCUUGGAAUUCACGACUCCUGCUAAAUCAUCUGUCGAGCGCACAUACGAGACCGAGUUCCGGCUGUACAGGACAAGGGGCUUUAAGAAGGUUGAUGACCUUAAUGCCAAGUUUGUUACAGACAAGGUUCUUAAAAGUCUGGAUGUAGAUUGGCUUCGUGAGGACGGGGAUUCUCCCGGAAUAAAAAACGUUGACUUGGGUGAAGCGAUCUACGCGGAGGGAUGUAUCUCGGAGAUUGGGG